rnacentral:lncRNA from 1 species
UCUGCAAAUAUAGCCCCAAGCCACAGUGAGGAGGAUGAGGAGGGUGGGGGAACAGGUAAAGCCACCCACAGCUCCCCCCACCUGGCAGACCUGAUUCCAAACUUUGCCUUUAUUAGCUCAUCCAUCUCUCAGUCACUGUUUGAGGAAGGUGCCAUUAUGACCCCGUUUCCCAGAAGAGGAGAUGGAGGCACGGAGCAGCAACAUCACUUGUCCCAGGCCACGUGGCUUGAGGGAACUGUCACGGGCGUCUGCAUACCAGAGUUAACCCGGCUGGGUGGUGAAGGUGCACCUCCUCUGUUGACCAUGCUGCCCGCCAGGAACACCCUGGGAACAUCUUGCCCUCAACAGCAGGGAAUAGGUCUAAGAAAAUUCAUAUAAAUGCAUAAUCUUCAUAGUAUUACUUAGAUCAGCAAAACGGGAACACCAUUGGAGGUGCACAAAAGGCGUGUGGCUGAAAUUGAGUGGAGAGGGAUGCAGGAUGGCGCAGGAAGAUGGUGAGAACUCAGGUGUGAGGAAGGCGCAGAACACGGGCUGCGGGAAGGCGUGCAGAGUGAGAGAACUCAGGUGUGAGGAAGGCGCAGAACACGGGCUGCGGGAAUGUGCAGAGUGAGAGAACUCAGGUGUGAGGAAGGCGCAGAACACGGGCUGCGGGAAUGUGCAGAGUGAGCAGGAUUCACUCUGGACAGAGUGCGUAUGGGAAUGCAUUUUCUUCUUUGUGCUCUACAGUAGACACCCAAUUAAUCAGUGACUGAGAAAAAGCAGAGUAUCCACCUGGCUCUCUUUCUGCCAAGAACCGCGACUGCCUCCACCGCUCCAUAUGGGACCACCCUGCCUAA